rnacentral:sRNA from 1 species
UAAUAACAGGAGGUUCUGGGCCGAAGCCCGUAAUCCCCCCAGGCCCGAAAUCACAGCAUAUAGUAUUAGUUUCGUCCCAAACGUCACUCAAACCGGCGACCUCUAAGCUUCGCCUAGGGUCUGUUAUACGAAACAUGUACACUUCAAAACAUGUGUCUAUACGAAGUGUGAAGUGUUAUAAUUCACACUUCAUAAACGUAUAUCUC